rnacentral:rRNA from 1 species
UAGUCUACGCCGUAAACGAUGGAUACUAGUUGUUUGGUUUUCGGACUGAGUGACUAAGCGAAAGUGAUAAGUAUCCCACCUGGGGAGUACGUUCGCAAGAAUGAAACUCAAAGGAAUUGACGGGGGCCCGCACAAGCGGUGGAGCAUGUGGUUUAAUUCGAUGAUACGCGAGGAACCUUACCAGGGCUUAAAUGUAGUAUGACAGGACUAGAGAUAGUUUUUUCUUCGGACCACUUACAAGGUGCUGCAUGGUUGUCGUCAGCUCGUGCCGUGAGGUGUCAGGUUAAGUCCUAUAACGAGCGCAACCCCUGUUGUUAGUUGCCAGCAUGUAAAGAUGGGAACUCUAACAAGACUGCCGGUGCAAACCGCGAGGAAGGUGGGGAUGACGUCAAAUCAUCACGGCCCUUACGUCCUGGGCUACACACGUGCUACAAUGGUAGGGACAGAGAGCAGCCACACCGCGAGGUGGAGCGAACCUAUAAACCCUAUCUCAGUUCGGAUCGGAGUCUGCAAC